AGAUGGCUCGUAUCAUAAAUAGACAAGAAUGAGCGUACGCCGCAUGAGCGUCAGCGACGUACGUGAAGUUUGCAACCACCUUGUGUAUUUAUGAUACAAG